CAGCCGCCGCGGGAAUACGUAGGUGGCAAGCGUUGUCCGGAAUUAUUGGGCGUAAAGGGCUCGCAGGCGGUUUCUUAAGUCUGAUGUGAAAGCCCCCGGCUCAACCGGGGAGGGUCAUUGGAAACUGGGAAACUUGAGUGCAGAAGUGGAGAGUGGAAUUCCGCGUGUAGCGGUGAAAUGCGUAGAGAUGUGGAGGAACACCAGUGGCGAAGGCGACUCUCUGGUCUGUAACUGACGCUGAGGAGCGAAAGCGUGGGGAGCGAACAGGAUUAGAUACCCGGGUAGUCCCUGUCUCUUAUAC
rnacentral:rRNA from 1 species